UUCCAUUUCAAGCCCCAACAGUCGACCGAGAAAAGUUUUCGUUUUUGUAAAGUUUCUUGUGUAAUUAAUGCAAAAAGUGAAAUAAUAUUGAUUAAUUUAUUUGUGCAAUUGCUAAGCUAGGUGAUGUUAAUGUAAACGACAAACCACUCCAAGUGUAGUUCCAGUAUCCAAGCAUUAGAAUCCUAAUCUCAUAAGUGUACCAAUUGUUUUGACCAGCUUCCUUGUGUAUAAUUUGAUUUAAUUCACUCGGCUGAUAAGAGAAUAAAAGGAUUUAGAAGAUUGGACAAGCAGACUUUUGUUUGUCUGUGUGUAAAACCUAGAAGAGGCCUGCUCAAACGUCAUCCAAGAUUAAUCUCUCAGUCGAAAUCAAUAUGAGCGAGAGCCAGGAGUCUCCACCGGGUGGCAUGGAAGGCAUUCAAUCUGCUGAUCCACCUGCACCUCCUCUGGUACCACCAAGGGAACAUUUGAUUACCACUGCGAUUAAGUUUUUGAACAAUCCAAAUGUAAUGCGCAGUGCCAUCACCCAGAAGCAGUCGUUCCUGCGGUCGAAGGGCCUGACGGAAGAGGAAAUACAGCUUGCCUGUGAACGGGCAGGAGUGUUCACCAAAGAUCCCAACAUUCACAGUCAGACGGUGAUCAGCAUGGGAGUGGACACUUCUGGUGGUCCAGCCGGAUUCUCAAAAGCCAAUUACGUCAUCCAGUCCCACCAGUCGUGGUUCGGCCGGGUCAAAGACAUUCUCAGCUCGGUGGCUCUCGUCAGUGGACUCAUGUACAGUGUCUAUCUCUUCUACAAGAAAUUCAUUGAACCUCUCAUCUUCCGAGGCAAGAAGAAAAAACCGGUGGAUGAACAAAUUUCUGAACUGAACCAAUCGGUGGAAGUGAAGAUAGAUUGUCUCAAUUUCGAGUUGGUUAAAAUCAAGGACGAACUUGCCCGGAUACACCAAGCGCAAUCUACUGCCAAAGAACUGACCAGCUUCAAAUCUGACCUAGAUUCCAUCAAAGGUUUACUUUUGAAUAGGAAACAAUUUGCCUCGCCUAUCCUACCAGUAAUGCCGCCCUCUAUCCCCGCCUGGCAGUUACAGGCUCAAUCCUCCCAAGAGCGGGCAACGAACAGCGAAGGUGAUCAUGAUAAGCAUGACGAUAACGACACGGGUUCCGGAUCCGGUUCGAGUGAGAACGACGUUGUGUUAAAAAACAGCGAUAGCAGUUUAGAAAUAAUAUCUUAAGCGUGGAAGAAUGUUACCAGAUCUUGGGAUGGUUUUAGUAGGAUUGGUUUUAAAUUUUGGUGGCUUGGGCGCAAUAGCAUAAGGAAUACAGAAAGUCAAUUCAGUUGGCAGAUUUUUUAGUUAGACAAUUUUUCAAUUAUUGUUCAACAUUGUAAGUUGAUGUGUCGUUUACUACAACAAAAAAGUGUUUCAGAAGAAAUUUAGAAAAAAAAGCAUUUAUUGCGUUCGACUGAAAACAAACGAUUUUAAAUGAAAGAUUUACUUUGGACAAUGCACAUGGAAAAAAGUACUGAAAUAAACUUGUAAAACUCA